AAAGGAAAGUCCUAGCUUUCAGACUGUCUGAGCUCACUUCAGACAGUUCUGUCUGGAGUCUCCAAACCCAGCAGAUUCCUGCAUUGCACCCCUGCGCCACUCCUCCUGGAGGAGGAAGGAGGAGGUCUCCCUG
rnacentral:lncRNA from 1 species